AAAUCAUGUAUCGGGCAUUUUCUAAUUAGUUCUUUGAAACGCUUCCAUGCUUCAUAUAAUGUUUCAUCUUCUUAUUACCUAAAUGAUGUAAUUUCUUUCCUAAGCUU
rnacentral:snoRNA from 1 species